rnacentral:tRNA from 1 species
UCUUUUUUAAAAGGUAGCGUUUUAUAAAGCUUUGACCUUUAAAAAAGGGGGAA